rnacentral:rRNA from 1 species
AUUGAACGCUGGCGGCAUGCCUUACACAUGCAAGUCGAACGGCAGCAUGAUCUAGCUUGCUAGAUUGAUGGCGAGUGGCGAACGGGUGAGUAAUACAUCGGAACGUGCCCUGUAGUGGGGGAUAACUAGUCGAAAGAUUAGCUAAUACCGCAUACGACCUGAGGGUGAAAGUGGGGGACCGCAAGGCCUCAUGCUAUAGGAGCGGCCGAUGUCUGAUUAGCUAGUUGGUGAGGUAAAGGCUCACCAAGGCGACGAUCAGUAGCUGGUCUGAGAGGACGAUCAGCCACAAUGGGAAUGAGACAAGGCCCAGACUCCUAAGGGAGGCAGCAGUGGGGAAAUUUGGAAAAAGGGCGAAAGCCUGAUCCAGCAAAGGCGCGUGGGUGAAGAAGGCCUUCGGGUUGUAAAGCACUUUUGUCCGGAAAGAAAUGGCUCUGGUUAAUACCUGGGGUCGAUGACGGUACCGGAAGAAUAAGGACCGGCUAACUACGUG